rnacentral:rRNA from 2 species
CAAUAAGCGGAGGAAAAGAAACCAACAGGGAUUGCCCCAGUAACGGCGAGUGAAGCGGCAACAGCUCAGAUUUGGAAUCUGGCCCCCCCCCGGGGGCCCGAGUUGUAAUCUGGAGAGGAUGCUUCUGGCGCGGCGCCUGGCGAGUUCCCUGGAACGGGACGCCGGAGAGGGUGAGAGCCCCGUACUCCAGGACGCCCAGCCUCUGCGAAGCUCCUUCGGACGAGUCGAGUAGUUUGGGAAUGCUGCUCUAAACGGGAGGUAAAUUUCUUCUAAAGCUAAAUACCGGCCAGAGACCGAUAGCGCACAAGUAGAGUGAUCGAAAGAUGAAAAGCACUUUGAAAAGAGGGUCAAACAGUACGUGAAAUUGUUGAAAGGGAAGCGCCCGUGGCCAGACUUGCGCCCCGCGGCCCACCCGGCGGACCCGCCGGGGCACGCCGCGGGGCGCAGGCCAGCAUCGGCUCUCCUAGGGGGACAAGGACGGCGGGAACGUGGCUCCCUCGGGAGUGUUAUAGCCCGCCGCGCCAUGCCCCUGGGGGGGCCGAGG